UGGGGAAUAUUGGACAAUGGGCGAAAGCCUGAUCCAGCCAUGCCGCGUGUGUGAAGAAGGUCUUCGGAUUGUAAAGCACUUUAAGUUGGGAGGAAGGGCAGUAAGCGAAUACCUUGCUGUUUUGACGUUACCGACAGAAUAAGCACCGGCUAACUCUGUGCCAGCAGCCGCGGUAAUACAGAGGGUGCAAGCGUUAAUCGGAAUUACUGGGCGUAAAGCGCGCGUAGGUGGUUCGUUAAGUUGAAUGUGAAAGCCCCGGGCUCAACCUGGGAACUGCAUCCAAAACUGGCGAGCUAGAGUAGGGCAGAGGGUGGUGGAAUUUCCUGUGUAGCGAUGAAAUGCGUAGAUAUAGGUAGGAACACCAGUGGCGAAGGCGACCACCUGGGCUCAUACUGACACUGAGGUGCGAAAGCGUGGGGAGCAAACAGG
rnacentral:rRNA from 1 species